UACGUAGGGGGCUAGCGUUGUCCGGAAUCAUUGGGCGUAAAGAGCGUGUAGGCGGUCCGGUAAGUCCGCUGUGAAAGUCGGGGGGCUCAACCCUCGAAUGCCGGUGGAUACUGUCGGGCUAGAGUGCGGAAGAGGCGAGUGGAAUUCCUGGUGUAGCGGUGAAAUGCGCAGAUAUCAGGAGGAACACCAAUGGCGAAGGCAGCUCACUGGGACGAUACUGACGCUGAGACGCGAAAGCGUGGGGAGCAAACAGG
rnacentral:rRNA from 1 species